UACGUAGGUGGCAAGCGUUAUCCGGAAUUAUUGGGCGUAAAGCGCGCGCAGGUGGUUUCUUAAGUCUGAUGUGAAAGCCCACGGCUCAACCGUGGAGGGUCAUUGGAAACUGGGAGACUUGAGUGCAGAAGAGGAAAGUGGAAUUCCAUGUGUAGCGGUGAAAUGCGUAGAGAUAUGGAGGAACACCAGUGGCGAAGGCGACUUCCUGGCCUGUUCUUGACGCUGAGGCGCGAAAGCUAGGGGAGCAAACGGG
rnacentral:rRNA from 1 species